GAUGAACGCUGGCGGCGUGCCUAACACAUGCAAGUCGAGCGAUUCUCUUCGGAGAAGAGCGGCGGACGGGUGAGUAACGCGUGGGUAACCUGCCCUGUACACACGGAUAACAUACCGAAAGGUAUGCUAAUACGAGAUAAUAUGCUUUUAUCGCAUGGUAGAAGUAUCAAAGCUUUUGCGGUACGGGAUGGACCCGCGUCUGAUUAGCUAGUUGGUAAGGUAACGGCUUACCAAGGCGACGAUCAGUAGCCGACCUGAGAGGGUGAUCGGCCACAUUGGAGCUGAGACACGGUCCAAACUCCUACGGGAGGCAGCAGUGGGGAAUAUUGCACAAUGGGCGAAAGGCUGAUGCAGCAACGCCGCGUGAGCGAUGAAGGCCUUCGGGUCGUAAAGUUCUGUCCUCAAGGAAGAUAAUGACGGUACUUGAGGAGGAAGCCCCGGCUAACUACGUG
rnacentral:rRNA from 1 species